rnacentral:rRNA from 1 species
UACGUAGGGGCCAAGCGUUGUCCGGAAUCACUGGGCGUAAAGCGUAUGUAGGUUGCUUGAUAAGUCAGAUGUUAAAUUCCCGAGCUCAACUCGGGACCGCAUUUGAUACUGUCAAACUUGAGAAUGGUAGAGGAAAGCGGAACUUCCGGUGUAGCGGUGAAAUGCGUAGAUAUCGGAAGGAACACCAGUGGCGAAGGCGGCUUUCUGGGCCAUUUCUGACACUGAGAUACGAAAGCCAGGGGAGC